CCUACGGGAGGCAGCAGGGAGGAAUAUUGGGCAAUGGGCGCGAGCCUGAAGGAGCAAAGGAGCGGGAAGGAUGAAGGCCCUACGGGUGGUAAACUUCGUUUAUAAAGGAAUAAAGUGAGGCACGUGUGCCUUUUUGCAUGUACGUUAUGAAUAAGGAUCGGCUAACUCCGUGCCAGCAGCCGCGGUGAUACGGAGGGUCCGAGCUUUACCCGGCUUUAUUGGGUUGAAAGGGUGCGUAGAGGGGUUGUUAAGUCAGUUGUGAAAGUUUGCGGCUCAACCGUAAAGUUGCAAUUGAUACUGGGAGUCUUGAGUACAGUUGAGGUAGGCGGAAUUCGUGGUGUAGCGGUGAAAUGCUUAGAUAUCACGAAGAACUCCGAUUGCGAAGGCAGCUUACUAGACUGCAACUGACAUUGAUGCUCGAAAGUGUGGGUAUCAAACAGGAUUAGAUACCCCUGUAGUC
rnacentral:rRNA from 1 species